rnacentral:lncRNA from 1 species
GAUAUAGUUACCGUAUAAUUCAUCCCUAUGACUCUCGAUGCUCAAGAAUGAUUUAAGGCAAAACUGUCAAUCCUGGAUGAGUGAUCCACGUUGUGUCUCAAUCUCGAAAAUCUUAUGACUCCUCACUAAGAUUAUUUUGGUCAAAAUUUUAUUGAAUUGAAAUACAGUGAUAUAUCAUCUCUAAUUUUACUUGGAGUGAUCCAUUUCAUAUUGACUUGCACUCAAACUUCACAAGUACUUGACUGUACCUAAAAAUUUUUCAUCACCAAAUUAGAUAUUCGGAUAGUCUGGCCCCAGAGCACAAUGAGUUGCCUGCAAGUCACCGAGACGGCCUCA